GCUUAGACUUAAGUCGUAUUAUCUUGAAUUUUCUAAAUCGCCGGCUCAGGAAACAAGAAUAUAAUAAAUUUUCAUUGAGAAUUUGAAACGCUUUGAUCGUUUAAACUUUCAUUUUUACAUUUGCAAGAAGUCAAAAAUUUAUAUCAUUAGGAAGUUAUUAACGUUUUGUCUUUAGAGACAUUCUUGUGCAUCAAGAUAGGAUUAAUUGUGUUUAUUAUUAAAAAAAUAUAAUAUAUUGACUUUUAAAAACAUAAACAAUCCUUUUUAAAAUAAUUGCAAUGCGAGCAGUUUGUUUCAAACCAAAUAUCAGUAUUUAAUAAACUAAAUACUUAAUACUUACUUGGAAUACUUGAUGAGUUAUCCCCAGGACUCCAGGUAGGAGCAUAACGGGAAUUUCAGUUAGGUCCUCUCGGAGAAGUGAUCAAGUCCUCUAAAUUUACGUCCUCCUUGUGUAACCUCUUCCACACUAAUCCUGGCAUAGUAGUUCAAGUAAUCAGUAUUUAAUGUUGCCUACGUAUUAUUUCAUUUGUGUAUUCUGAAAAUUUUUUUAAGCUGCUUUUUGUGACGGACACAUUUUUAUUGUUUAUAAAACCGCGUUCAGAGAUCCUUUAAAUCAAUAGGCUUUACAGACUUGUUUUUAUUCAAACUGCUUCGGUUUCCAAUAUUCAUUUUAUUUUCAAUCCGAUGAUUGUUAAAAAAAAUUAGAUUGAUGGCAUUGUGAUAAAUUGUUAUUUCUAGUCCAAACACCAGUAGUCAGUAAGUUAAUAAAUUGAAUAGGAUAGUAAAUUUUUAGAAACUUGGGAAUAGGUCCGAAAAAUUACUUUCAAGCUAAAAUACAGGAUUUAAUCCAUACCGCACCGUCCCUUCAAGUGUGAUUUUUACUCUAGUAUAUAAAUUCUGUUUUGUGAUAUUAUAUCUAGUAUUAAUUAUUUUUGUGAUAAAAUUGAAAAGCAUUGUGAUAAAAUAACGAGUUGUUUACACGACACCAAAGAUUUUUGUGAUCAUGUUUUUGCACGUUAACGUUUUAGUUGAAUUGAUUUUGAAGUUUGCAUUUUUUUGUAGACACUUUUUUCCCUUGUGAUUUCCCUUAAAAGAUAAUAAUAUUUCCUGAUAAAUUUAUUAUUUUUAAUUUUUGUUCUUAAGUUUAAGUUUUAAAUUUUACAUAAGAAUUAGUAAUAUUUUGUGCCAUUCACAUUAUAUAUGAUUAACUCCAGGCCUCUAUCCACACGGUGGUGUGCACUGUGUAGUGCUCUGAAGGAAGUCUAGGGGUUCCACAAUGGGUUCCCUUUCAGAUUUAAACUUGAUUUGAUUUGAUUUGAUAUGAUUUGAUGUUUUGUAAUUUGCUUUAGCACCAGUGAUAAUAUGAUUGCUCAAUUAUUUAUAAAAAUGGUGGAAUUUAAAAUUUAAAAAAAAGUCUAUCAAUGAUUAUCUUAAUUUAAUUUUUGUUAUUAGAUGUUUAUUUGAAAAAUCAAUUUUAUCCUGUCAGCUUCAGAAAGCAGAAAUUUGGGAAUAAUGACCGGGUUUUUUUUUUU